GAUGAACGCUGGCGGCGUGCUUAACACAUGCAAGUCGAGCGAAGCACUUAAGUUUGAUUCUUCGGAUGAAGACUUUUGUGACUGAGCGGCGACGGGUGAGUAACGCGUGGGUAACCUGCCUCGUACAGGGGGAUAACAGUUAGAAAUGACUGCUAAUACCGCAUACGCCCUACGGGGGAAAGGAGGGGAUCUGCAAGGACCUUUCACUAUUGGAGCGGCCGAUAUCGGAUUAGCUAGUUGGUGAGGUAACGGCUCACCAAGGCGACGAUCCGUAGCUGGUUUGAGAGGACGACCAGCCACACUGGGACUGAGACACGGCCCAG
rnacentral:rRNA from 1 species